rnacentral:lncRNA from 1 species
CCUGCCUUUGCAGCAUCCACAUGAGAUGCUCUGCAAGGUAGCCCCUCUCGGCAAUUCCUGGUUUGAUCGUGGCUGAACCUGGGCUGGAAAGUUACUGUGUUUUUGUUCCUUAGCUAAGUGACCCUGUGGUCUGUGAGAAAUCGAAACCUUCCUGGAAAAGAGGACUCAUUCCUUCCUCCUGGGCUGACUGGAGGCCUGUAGGAUGUCACCCUGAGGCAGGACGUCUUUUCUCAGACAAACAGGAGCCUUUCUGAGAGCACUGCUCCUGACACCACUGCUGAGGCUCAGGAGAGAAGGAAGUGUCUUUUUAACUGAGUUUCAUGGGUUUCGGAGG